GGAACUUGAGUGCAGAAGAGGAGAGUGGAAUUCCACGUGUAGCGGUGAAAUGCGUAGAGAUGUGGAGGAACACCAGUGGCGAAGGCGACUCUCUGGUCUGUAACUGACGCUGAGGCGCGAAAGCGUGGGGAGCGAACAGGAUUAGAUACCCUGGUAGUCCACGCCGUAAACGAUGAGUGCUAAGUGUUAGAGGGUUUCCGCCCUUUAGUGCUGCAGCAAACGCAUUAAGCACUCCGCCUGGGGAGUACGGUCGCAAGACUGAAACUCAAAGGAAUUGACGGGGGCCCGCACAAGCGGUGGAGCAUGUGGUUUAAUUCGAAGCAACGCGAAGAACCUUACCAGGUCUUGACAUCCUCUGACAACCCUAGAGAUAGGGCUUCCCCUUCGGGGGCAGAGUGACAGGUGGUGCAUGGUUGUCGUCAGCUCGUGUCGUGAGAUGUUGGGUUAAGUCCCGCAACGAGCGCAACCCUUGAUCUUAGUUGCCAGCAUUCAGUUGGGCACUCUAAGGUGACUGCCGGUGACAAACCGGAGGAAGGUGGGGAUGACGUCAAAUCAUCAUGCCCCUUAUGACCUGGGCUACACACGUGCUACAAUGGGCAGAACAAAGGGCAGCGAAGCCGCGAGGCUAAGCCAAUCCCACAAAUCUGUUCUCAGUUCGGAUCGCAGUCUGCAACUCGACUGC
rnacentral:rRNA from 1 species